UACGAAGGGUGCAAGCGUUACUCGGAAUUACUGGGCGUAAAGGGUGCGUAGGUGGUUCGUUAAGUCUGAUGUGAAAGCCCUGGGCUCAACCUGGGAAUUGCAUUGGAUACUGGCGGGCUAGAGUGCGGUAGAGGGUAGUGGAAUUCCCGGUGUAGCAGUGAAAUGCGUAGAUAUCGGGAGGAACAUCCGUGGCGAAGGCGACUGCCUGGACCAGCACUGACACUGAGGCACGAAAGCGUGGGGAGCAAACAGGAUUAGAUACCUG
rnacentral:rRNA from 1 species